UGGGGAAUUUUGGACAAUGGGCGCAAGCCUGACCCAGCAACGCCGCGUGAAGGAUGAAGUAUUUCGGUAUGUAAACUUCGAAAGAAUAGGAGGAAUAAAUGACGGUACUAUUUAUAAGGUCCGGCUAACUCUGUGCCAGCAGCCGCGGUAAUACAGAGGUGGCAAGCGUUGUUCGGAAUUACUGGGCGUAAAGGGCGCGUAGGCGGCCUACUAAGUCAGACGUGAAAUCCCCCGGNUUAACCUGGGAACUGCGUCUGAUACUGGAAGGCUUGAGUAUGGGAGAGGGAUGUAGAAUUCCAGGUGUAGCGGUGAAAUGCGUAGAUAUCUGGAGGAACAUCUGAGGCGAAGGCGACUAUCUGGAUCACAACUGACGCUGAGGUACGAAAGCAUGGGUAGCAAACAGGAUUAGAUACCCGUGUAGUCCCUGAGCGGGCUGGCAAGGCGCAU
rnacentral:rRNA from 1 species